AACCUUAUGGACCUGCGGGCGUAUACCUGCGGAGGGAUCAUUAUCAAAACAGCGGCCUUCGGGCCUUGCUGCACCCUUGUCUUUUGCGCACCGUAUUGUUUCCUCGGCGGGCUUGCCUGCCGGUUGGACAUUAUCAAACCUUUUUGUAGUUGCAAUCAGCGUCAGAAAAACAAUAAUUAUUACAACUUUCAGCAAUGGAUCU
rnacentral:misc_RNA from 1 species